UCUUGAUGGGCCCUGGAAAGCCAUUGGGAGGUGGGACUAGUUCCUUUCCAUAGGACCCCAAAAUUUAGGGGGCUCCCAAAAAUAUUUUUUAUUUAAUAUAAUAAUAUAUAAAAAUGCUAAUCCAAAUAAAAAAAAGAUGAGUAAUGCUAGGGAGACUAAAUUUGGAGAUUAAACUUGCAAAAUAAAUGAUGUGUUAUCAAUAUAAAUGAGCACGUUUAUCAACACUUUUGUAAUAAACAAAUCAUCAAUUUUCACGUCCUUUAGUUUCCAAAAUUUAGUCUAUAAAUUUAGUUUCCUUAGCAUUACCCUAAAAAUAUAUAUAUAUAUAAUUCCUGACAAGUCCCGAAGCCAUACGCCUAGUAGGCUACCUGCCUACAAAAACCAUCAAUCUGUAAGGAUUUAUAUAAAAUUAUAAUUUAUAAAACAAUAGUGGCAUAGGUAAUCAAUUAAACCGAGGAGAACCUUACCGAGUAAUCAAUUCACUGAUAUAGAGAGACCACUUUUCUUCUCUCACGCAGAGUCCCAGACGCCCUCCUUCACUGUUUCCCAUAUUUUUUUCUCUCACGCCAGAGUCCCAGUCUCCUAGAAGCCAGAGUCCCAGUCCACCUUCCUUUUGUACCUGUCCCACAGUUCUUUUCUUUGCAAACUAUUAAACCCUAAUUCAUAAAUUCAUUGCAUACAAAAUUUUGUUGACCGUACCUAUUACCGUUGCAUCUGCGGAAAGAAGUUUCUUAAAGUUAAAGUUAUUAAAAUCAUACUUGUGGUCAACCAUGUUGCAGAAAAAAGGUUAAAUGAAAUUGCUUUGAUAUCAAUUGAAAGUGGUUUUUUAGACCAAAUUGAUUAUGAAGGUUUAAUUGAUGAUUUUGUAGCAAAGAAUGCAUGAAAAACUAUCGUUACGUGAAACUUCAGUGCUAGACAUUUUUAAGUUUUGUUUAUUUGGUUUUUUAAGAUUGAAGUUAUUGUUGAUUAUUAGUAAUAUGGUUACGUUGUAGCUUUCUUAACAUUUAAUAAUAUUUAGAAACCAAUAGUUAGUGAGUUUUAAAGUUUGUUUCGGUAUUGCUUUUUAGCAUCAAUAUAAUGUUCAUUUUUUUUUACGACAUCUUAUAAGAAGGGUCCCCUUUAUGAAUUUCACACAAGGCCCUCGAAAUCUGAGAGAUGGACCUAGGGCCUCGAAGCCAUAUGCCUAGUAGGCUACCUACCUACAUAAACCGUCAAAUUUGUAAGGAUUUAUACAAAACAUAAUUUAUAAAAUAACAGUGGCAUAGGUAAUCAAUUAAAAGGGGAAGAACCCUAUCAAGUACUCAAUUCAUUGUCAGAGAGAGUCCACUUUUCUUUUCUCACGCAAAGUCCCAUAUGCCCCCCUUCGCUGUUUCCCACAUUUUUUCUCUCAGGGCAGAGUCUCAAUCUCCCAGACGCUAGAGUCCCAGUCCACCUUCCUUCUCUACCUGUCCCACUGUUCUUUUCUCCACAAA
rnacentral:lncRNA from 1 species